GGGAGCAAACCAAUUCUUACAUUUCCAGAAUGAAAGCAAGGGCAUUUGCCCUUUUAAUUUUUUUUCAUUAUACUAGCCAUAGGAAUCUUUUAAGAGGAGUAUGGUUCAUAUUUUCACGAAGUUUUUAUUGAUCAACUAUUUGCAAUAAACGAACAAGAGUAAUUGAACCAUCCAAGACAUGAUUUCAAGAAUCCAUUGAAGAGAGAUUUUUAUGACCUAUCCAUGAGAGAGCCCGGGGAGUGCUGGGAGACCUUAAAGGAUGCGCGAUGUUGACGCCAUUCAGAAGAGAAGGUGUAUUUCAUGCCUUUAGUAUGGGAUUUACUUGGAUCUGGUCAUUUCUAAGCAUUGUAAGGCAAUACUCGAGGUUUUGAGACACGAGCUCCAACCCAGCAGUAGCGGUAGCAUUCUAGUCGCAGAGGCACAGUAAGUCCUCAUUGAUUCGAGGACAAUAUGAUUUGAUACAUUUAUUUAUUUCUUCAGUUCAUUUUUAUGGAGUUAUUUGGAGACAUGUUCCUUUAACUCCUUAUUUAGACAGUUUAGAGUCUUUCAGAUUUAUGUUUAGAUUUACGUUCAGAUUGAGUUGUUUUGGGUAUUUUCACCCACAUGGUUUUAUUUAGUUGAACCUUAUGGCCUUAC